rnacentral:rRNA from 1 species
UACGUAGGGUGCAAGCGUUAUCCGGAAUUAUUGGGCGUAAAGAGCUCGUAGGCGGUUUGUCGCGUCUGCUGUGAAAUCUGGGGGCUCAACCCCCAGCCUGCAGUGGGUACGGGCAGACUAGAGUGCGGUAGGGGAGAUUGGAAUUCCUGGUGUAGCGGUGGAAUGCGCAGAUAUCAGGAGGAACACCGAUGGCGAAGGCAGAUCUCUGGGCCGUAACUGACGCUGAGGAGCGAAAGCAUGGGGAGCGAACAGG